CCUANGGGUGGCUGCAGUGGGGAAUUGUUCACAAUGGGCGCAAGCCUGAUGACGCAACGCCGCGUGGAGGAUGAAGACCUUCGGGUCGUAAACUCCUUUCGACCGAGAUGAAUAUCCAUCGACCCAACACGUCGAUGGAGUGACAGUAUCGAGGGAAGAAGCCCCGGCUAACUCUGUGCCAGCAGCCGCGGUAAUACAGGGGGGGCAAGCGUUGUUCGGAAUUACUGGGCGUAAAGGGUUUGUAGGUGGCUCGCUAAGUCAUACGUGAAAUCCCUCAGCUUAACUGGGGAACUGCGUCUGAUACUGGAGAGCUUGAGUGCAGGAGAGGAACGCGGAAUUCCAGGUGUAGCGGUGAAAUGCGUAGAUAUCUGGAGGAACACCGGUGGCGAAGGCGGCGUUCUGGACUGCAACUGACACUGAGAAACGAAAGCCAGGGGAGCAAACGGGAUUAGAUACCCCANUANUC
rnacentral:rRNA from 1 species